rnacentral:rRNA from 1 species
AUGCCAUCUAGCGACAAGCAAUUAGCAUUCUCGGUGAAAACAGCAGCAUCGCGUGAGCUGCUAAACAAAGGUACAAACAUCAUAAAUAUGUCUCAAGGCACUUCUCUGCCGCCAAAGGAUAAAGGUGCUGCUGAAGAACCUUUAAAGGCUGUGGGCACAAAACGGCUGCAUACUGAUGCUCCUUCAAGCCCUGUUUAUCAUAAUGUUUAUGUGCGGCGAAAGGUGGAAACUGAACAUAAUAAAGUGAACUCGUCUCUGGAGAUGAAGGUUAUUGGCAAGGACAAAACAAAGCAGCAGGAGGAACAGCGAAAUGUGGAAACUGAACAUAGCAAAGUGAGUUGCUCUCAAGAGUUGAAGGGUAGUCGAAGUGAGAUAACAAAAGAGCAGGGGAUACAGAGAAUGGAAACGGAACAUAGUAAAGUGAACCCUUCUCAGGAGUUGAAGGGUAGUGGAAGCGAGAAAACAAAGGAGCAGGAGGAACGGAAAGUGAAAACUGAACAUAGUAAAGUGAACCCUUCUCAAGAGAUGAAGGGUAGUGGAAGUGAGAAAACAAAAGGGCAGGAAAUACAGAAAAUGGAAACUGAACAUAGUAGAGUGAACCCUUCGCAAGAGUUGAAGGGUAGUGGAAGCAAGAAAACAGAGGAGCAGGAGGAACAGAAAGUGAAAACUGAACAUAGUAAAGUGAGCUCUUCUAAAGAGUUGAAGGGUAAUGUAGGAGAAAAAAUAGAAGAGCAAGAGGAUCAGCAACUGGUGCAAUGUGAUCAAGUCAGUAAGCCAGAAGUGGCACCUCCUAUUGCUGAAUCUGGAAUAAAAGAGCAGGAUGAACAGCAAACGGUGCAAGUGAAUAAGCCAGAAGUGGCACCUCCUAUUGCUGAAUCUGGAAUAAAAGAGCAGGAUGAACAGCAAACGGUGCAAGUGAAUAAGUCAGAAGUGGCACCUCUUAUUUCUGAAUCUGGAAUAAAAGAGCAGGAUGAACAGAAGACGGUNNNNNNNNNNNNNNNNNNNGUGGCACCUCCUAUUUCUGAAUCUGGAAUUAAAGAGCAGGAUGAACAGGAAACGGUGCAACAUGAUCAGGUGAAUAAGCCAGAAUUGGCACCUCCUAUUGCUGAAUCUGGGACAAAAGGGCUGGAUGAGCAGCAAACGGUGCAACAUGAUCAGGUCAAGAAGUCAGAAAUGGCACAUAUUCCUGAACCUGGAAUAAAAGGUCAGGAUGAACAGCAAAUGGUGCAACAUGAUCAGGUCGAUAAGCCAGAAAUGGCACCUCCUAUUGCUGAAACCGGAAUAAAAGAGCAGGAGGAACAGCAAACUGUACAACAUGGUCAGAUCAAUAAGCCAGAAGUGGCACCUCCUAUCUCUGAACCUUGCAUAGAAGAGCAGGAGAAACGGCAAAUGGUACAACCAGAUCAAGUCAAUAAGCCAGAAGUGGCACCUCCUGUUGCUGAACCUAGGAUAACAGAGCAGGAGGAACUGCAAAUGGUACAACAUGAUCAGGUCAAUAAGCCAGAAGUGGCACCUCCUGUUGCUGAACCUAUGAUAACAGAACAGGAGGAACCGCAAAUGGUACAACAUGAUCAGGUCAAUAAGCCAGAAGUGGCACCUACUAUUGCUGAAUCUGCAGGUCUAGUCUCAUCUGAAAUGACUGAAUCUGGAGGGCUAGAGCCAUCUAAAUCUCCCGAAGAAACACAUGCAGAAACUGUACCAAAGAUAAAUGAGCUGCCGAUUGCUUCUGCUAACGAGCCACCUAUCGCUCCUAGUACCACCGUUCAAGGUGAUAUCCGUAGAUCAGGCAACCAAAAUCCUUACUGGAGUGAGAGAUAUGAUCGAUUACAGACAUAUUUGGAGAACUGUGAUCGGUCACCCCAGGAGGGUUAUAUGCGAAUGCUUAGGUCACUCUCAGCAGCCGGUCGAAGCAUGCAUGCGAUUGAGCUGGAGAAAAGGGCAAUACACCUCCUAGUGGAGGAAGGUAAAGAGCUGCAACGGAUGAAGGCUUUGAAUGUUUUGGGGAAAGUUUCUCCAAACGGUCCUUCGAAGCAGGAUCCCUUGCAGCGGUCGUGCCAGAAGUGA